rnacentral:lncRNA from 1 species
GAACAAAAAUGUUGUAGUUUUGCGAUUAUAACUGACCUCUAACAGUUGUCCUGUUCUGUGCCUCAAGGGCACUGGUAGUCAGCCCCUGUGUUAACACAAGGGCUCCUUAAGUCAGCAUGGAACAGUCUGUAAGACCACGAGGUGAGGAGAAAACAGGCAGCUGGCUGUCCCCGUAGAGUCCAGUGGGUCCAUGCUGCUCUGGGGCCCUAAGAGUCCUUUGAUGGCCACUGGCUGACACAAACAAAAGCGAGUCUUCUGAUUUGGGUUAUGGUUUAUUGGUAUUUGUGCAUGACCAAUACAUAUUCCUGAAGAUUUCAUUUUUAGGUAAGUUAUGUAAAACAGGUUACCUUCUACAUAAAUUAUUAAAGAUUAUUACAAUUUGAUAGUUACCAAGAAAAGGGGAUUAUGUCACGUUUCCACACAUUUUCCAGCCUUUCAAAUCCAAGUAUGGUGCCUCAGCCCUCACUCAUCUUAGACGUUCUUUGCUGGAGCUUCUGCUUGUCGCCCAUCCCUUCUUGUUUGGCUCAGUGGCUCCUGAUUCCCCACUGUUUACCCCUGGCAUCCUUGUCAUCACCUGCGAGCUGAAGACUUCUCUCACCAGUGCCCUCCUAAAUCCCCAGGGAUUGCGAAGCAACGCAGCUGGCCUAACAGAAUUGACUGAAGAUCGGAGGUUGGCAUGGGGCCUUUGCAUGCUGGAAAGGAAAAAGGCAGAAAGCAGUGGGGUCUCAGCAUAUGACCAUCACAGAUACUGCCUCUCUUCCGGCCCAUGUGGGCCUUUUUGCAAAUCCCUGGCCUCUGCUUCCUACAAACCAGCGCCUCUUCUCCCAUCUUUGCCUCUCACUGAGUCCCCACUCCUUGGUCCCCCAUGCUACUUCUUACCCAGUGGAGGAAACCCCAGGAACCCACAGCACAACAAAUGUGCCUCCCUGUCCAAGGAAGGGGGGGCCUGGAAAUCUGUGUAUUAACCAACUUUGCAGGGGAUUUUCAUGUACAAUAAAAGCUGAGAACCAUUGGAUUAGAGAAAACAUGAUUAGCAGCCUGAACACUGCUGACCUCUUUUUACCCCAUUUCUAG